UGGGGAAUAUUGCACAAUGGGCGAAAGCCUGAUGCAGCAACGCCGCGUGAGUGAUGACGGCCUUCGGGUUGUAAAGCUCUGUCUUCAGGGACGAUAAUGACGGUACCUGAGGAGGAAGCCACGGCUAACUACGUGCCAGCAGCCGCGGUAAUACGUAGGUGGCGAGCGUUGUCCGGAUUUACUAGGCGUAAAGGGAGCGUAGGCGGAUUUUUAAGUGAGAUGUGAAAUACUCGGGCUUAACCUGAGUGCUGCAUUUCAAACUGGAAGUCUAGAGUGCAGGAGAGGAGAAGGGAAUUCCUAGUGUAGCGGUGAAAUGCGUAGAGAUUGGGAAGGACACCAGUGGCGAAGGCGCUUCUCUGGACUGUAACUGACGCUGAGGCUCGAAAGCGUGGGGAGCAAACA
rnacentral:rRNA from 1 species